rnacentral:rRNA from 1 species
UAAGACGUAGGGGGCGAGCGUUGUCCGGAAUCAUUGGGCGUAAAGAGCGCGUAGGCGGCCCGGAAAGUCGGAUGUGAAAACCUGGGGCUCAACCCCAGGCCUGCAUCCGAUACUCCCGGGCUCGAGGCAGGUAGGGGAGAUCGGAAUUCCUGGUGUAGCGGUGAAAUGCGCAGAUAUCAGGAGGAACACCGGUGGCGAAGGCGGAUCUCUGGGCCUGUCCUGACGCUGAGGCGCGAAAGCUAGGGGAGCGAACAGGAUUAGAUACCCUGGUAGUCCUAGCCGUAAACGUUGGACGCUAGGUGUGGGCGGUAUCGACCCCGUCCGUGCCGAAGCUAACGCAUUAAGCGUCCCGCCUGGGGAGUACGGCCGCAAGGCUA